GGGGCGGAUUUGGUCCCAUUCAGACCAUUUAGGGUCGGAUUUGCUCCCACUGGGACCAUUUAGGGUCUAAUUUGCUCCCAUUGGGACCAUUGAUGGUCGGUUUUGGUCCCAUUGGGACCAUUUAGGGUCGGAUUUGGUCCCAUUGGGACCAUUUAGGGGUCGGAUUUGGUCCCAUUGGGACCAUUUAGGGUCGGAUUUGCUCCCACUGGGACCAUUUAGGGGUCGGAUUUGGUCCGAUUGGGACCAUUUAGGGUCUGAUUUGCUCCCACUGGGACCAUUGAUGGUCGGAUUUGGUCCCAUUGGGACCAUUGAUGGUCGGAUUUGGUCCCAUGGGGACCAUUUAGGGUCCGAUUUGGUCCCAUGGGGACCACUGAUGGUCGGAUUUGGUCCCACUGGGACCAUUUAGGGUCAGAUUUGGUCCCAUUGGGACCAUUUAGGGGUUGGAUUUGGUCCCAUUGGGACCAUUUGGGGUCAGAUUUGAUCCCACUGGGACCAUUUAGGGUCCGAUUUGGUCCCA
ensembl:lncRNA